GGGCCCGUGGCUCAGCAUGGUUAGAGCGCUCGACUGAUAAUCGAGAGGUCCUGAGUUCGAAUCUCAGCGGGCCCA
rnacentral:tRNA from 3 species